rnacentral:lncRNA from 1 species
UGACUAAUGUCUUUCCGGAAGUAAAACAAUUUAUUCAUUACUAGCUUGCUUUUCAAUACAAGAUACAUGGCUGCUUUCUCCCUCUCAAGAUCAGGUAGAGAUUAGAGGCUGGAAGACUGGAGAGAUCGAUGCAGGUGACCACAGAACUACAGGGAAAACAAAUGGAAAUUGAACAAAAUGAAGACUUAGAAGUUUUUGGCCUUCAGUUGGGAUUAGUGGGAAAACAUAUCCCAUAAAAAUUAGAUCCACCGGAAAGCAUACAAUACAUGCUUCCGUCACAGUUCUUACAAUCAUCCCACUCAUAGUAGGAUGCUUGUGCUAUGCAUUGAGAUCCAAGCUGACACAGUGAGCAAUCCAGUGGGUCUCCAAAGCUCAUACAUUGCCCAUUAACGCCCAGCAUCGUCAUUUUUUGGGAGAUCUUAGGAGCUGCAAAACAAAUUAUACAAUGAACUGGAGUUAAUUAGCAGUCAUGAUAUAUAAAGAAACUCUGGAUUAUAAAGCAAAGUUUGUUUGCUUUAACUUGCAAAAUGUGUCUUAAAACAAGACAGGAAGCAAUCUCAAAAAUUGAAGAAGCAGAGCGCUAGAGACUAACAAGCAACAGAGAGCAACAAGAUUGCUAUGACAAAGAGAGAAAAUGAAGGUUUUCUCGUCAUCUUUUUCUAGUUUUUCUUUUUUCUUCUCUUCACUCUUCUUUUGUGAAUCUGCA